CAUUGAAUGGCUGAAAUUUAAGCAAUGGUCUCUUAAACCAAUUUAUAGUACUAACUUUCAAUGA
rnacentral:tRNA from 1 species